rnacentral:lncRNA from 1 species
UGAAAUUUUAAAUUUAACUUUGAUGUUGAUUUAUGCCUAAUGCGAUACCGGGAUUCAUAGUUAAACGUUGUUAUUGCUCGAUAAAUGAACGCGACAAAAUGUAAAUAAUGUAUUUUAGUUCGACUGUCAUGUGCAUUGUGCGGAUUAUGUGAUAUUUUUGUCUUUAUACUGAAAGUAGAACUCAAAAUUGAAAAAACAAAUGAUUUAUUUUAGCAUUAAUAGACACGGUGGAACCAAAGGAAAUGUACAAACCAAACUGUCUCAUUUUAUUCUUUAUAUAGUUGGAGCUGUUUUUGUCCUUGUCUACGUUUUCACUAUUGUUUCUUUUUGAUAAAUCCGAGGAACAGACAAAUGCUUGUUAAUUAAUGAGUAUAUUUCUCACUUAAUAGUUAGUUCUAUGUGGUUACUUGUGUCCAUGAGGUGAGAGCUUAGCGAUAAGAGUUUCACCUUGUAACUUUGAAGGACGAAGUUCAAGUCCUCUCCAGAAAGUUCAUAAAAUGAUCAUUAGUUCUGCUUCAAUUAAUCAAAAUAUAUUAUGUAUGCUAAGCUUGUAAUUUUGAAGGAAAAAUAAAUCAUGGUGCUGCUUCAACAUUCAAUACAUUGUGAAUUGAUAUUUGCAAUUUUAAUUCCUUACUUAACUUUGUUACAGAUGCCUACAGCAUGGGUGGUUGCUUCCCUUGUGCCAAUUGCUGGUGGAGUGGCGCUGGCGUCUGCUACAGAGGUCUCUUUCAAUUGGUGAGUCUCCUUCUAUGGGAAGAUAAGAAUAGAAAUGCUAUUAUCAAAAGAACUAUUUGGUCAUUUGAAUUCUAAUAUGUGUUUUUUUUCCCUGCAAUAUUGAAUAGGGUUGGAUUUUUGAGUGCUAUGGCUUCCAAUUUGACGAAUCAAUCUCGUAAUGUUCUUAGCAAAAAACUCAUGGUUAACAAGGAGGUAAUAAUACGAUAUUAUGAUUGAUGAACUUGGUUAAGAGUAUCACAUAAUGUGUUAUGAAACUCUUGUCCAAAAUUUAAUCAUGCGAUGUUUGAUAUUGUGAAAAAUCACAAACAAAUACCACUGCUUAUCGCAGUUGUGAUAUGAUUGCAGAGAAAUAAAAAAUUGACAUCGUAGGAGCAUACCAUUUUUUUAGAACCUUGCACUUAUGUUUCAUUUCAUAUUCUUAUACACAAUAUUAAAUAACAAUAAUUUUUUUCUUCUCAGGAAUCCAUGGACAACAUAACCCUCUUCUCAGUAAUAACAGUCAUGUCAUUCUUCCUAUCAGUACCUAUAGCCCUCUUCAUGGAGGGUGUUAAAUUUACCCCUGCUUACCUGCAAUCUACAGUAAGAACUUCUUUGUUGAAAAUGAUUGGUACUGCUGUUAGCAUUCUCAAAUCAAAAUACAUUACUCUUUCCGUAACAAAAUUAAGCAAAAAAGUACAUACAUGGAUCAAAUCCAUGUAAUUUUUUAUUUAUAGUUUUGUUACUGAGUGAGUAUUUUGAUGAUGCUACUAAUAUAUGAUUGAUGUCAUUUUUAUUCACAGGGAUUAGAUGUUCAACAAGUGUACAUUAGAUCUCUUCUUGCUGCGCUUUGUUACCAUGCGUAUCAGCAAGUGAGUUUUCAUCUUCUAUGCACAUUAUAUUUUCCCCUUUUAUUCAAGAGUGUUACAAUUUCCACUUCUUUUUGUGAAAAAAUAAAUCAAGACUUCAUUAGUUAUAAUUCACUGAAAACAAAAUAAAAUUAUUUAGUAUGAAAUGGUUUAUCAUAUGUGCAGGUUUCUUAUAUGAUAUUGGAGAGAGUAUCACCUGUUACUCAUUCUGUAGCAAACUGUCUGAAGCGUGUGAUAGUUAUAGUGAGCUCUGUCAUAUUUUUCCAAACACCUGUCUCACCAAUUAACGCAUUAGGUACUAAAAUAAAAUUGCUUCCUUCUUUUUAACCAUAUAUAUCUCUUGUUGAAACUGAAAAUUUUAUGUGCUUAUUAAUUCUCUGCAGG